rnacentral:lncRNA from 1 species
AUUCAAUGAUCUCGCUCGCACCUCCCCUCCGCUGCUCGCAAAUUCCACCGGGUCCGUUACUGGGCUCGGACUUCGAAGUUAACGCACGCCCGCCCGGCCGCAAACCGGGGCCUGAGGCCGCCCCCGCCCGCGGCGCCCCGCGCUGACCCCGCCGGCCGGAGGGGGCCGGGCUCACUUUGCAACUUUGUGCGGCGCCGGCCGCAGUGCCAGCUCGGUGGUAUCGUAUGCAAAUACGCAUGCUGACGUUACAGAUCAUGUGGGUUUUGGCGUAGAUUCCCCACUGAUCGGCAUUUUCCCCUCUUUUUCUUUCUUUUUUCUCUUUUUGCUUUUUCUUUUUAAAUUUUGGCCGCCGUCCUCGGAGCGGGCCUCUCUGCCCGAGCCCGGCACGCUGGCUGUCCCUCCGUUUCCCACGGAGCCCCGCGGGCGCCGGCCGGGGAGCGGGCCGAGGGUGGGGGAGCCAGCAGAGUUCCAUUUUGGAAGCCCGCGCUCGUCUCCGCGCGCCCAGCCCGGGUCCCCGCGUCCGCGCGCCCCCAGCCCCGGCGCCGCAGGUCCCGAAGCCCUGGCUGCUCCCAGAGUGCAUCUGUCAGAAGAUUCCCAGGAUGUGAGCCACACAAGUGUGACUGUGGCUAAUUGCAGACUUGUCAAGAGAGUAUGGAGAAGUGCCACCAACAGCAGAAGCCGCUGCUGGAUUCCUAAGAGGAGGAAUAUUGCCUCCCCUUUGACCUCGUAUCCACCCUGCUCCCAGCCUGCCCUGAAAAAUGAAUACCGGCUGCCCUGUGCUUCAUGAACUCUCAGCGCUACACCAUCCCGAGGCUCCACUGUCCCCCCUCACAGAGGGGAGGCCCCAACUGCUGCACCUGGAGGUGCAGCCACCCCCACUCCGCUCCUCUUCACUCUUCCCUGCUUGGUGCUUCUCCAGAGCACGUGCUACAAGUGACUUCUGUCCAUCUGUCCACUGCCAGGUCCUCGGUGCCAGCUCUGCAUCUGCCAGUGUGAUUUCCCCUUUUUAUUCUGCAUUCCGAAAUUUUGUCAUUUCUCAUGCCUGGUGGGGUUUCUUUCAGGGACACAGGAAAUGUCACAGUGGGUAAAACGGAAACUGAGUCAAUGACGGCAACAUACAGAGGAGGCAAGAGUGUCUUAGGGGCUGCGACUACUUUCUGGGUAAUUCGUCCCUGCCUUGCUCCUGGUAAGCCUCAGAGCUGAGACCUCCCAACCGGAAGGGCAGCACCAGGAAGGGUCCUCGUGAAGGAAACUCCUCCUGCUCCUCCCCUGGGCAGCAGGAGCUGGAACUCCAGUGUGCUUAGCUCCAGCUUGCUCAGGCAACGUGAGGACAGAGCCCCCACACCCAGCUGAUCCCGUGCACUGAGUUGGGGCGGCUGUGCCCGUGUCAGGCCACACCUGCUGGGAAGCUGGCUGGGCAUGAGCCCCACCACUCGCAGCUGGCCUUUUAGGGCACUUGACACCCAGUUGGAAACGAUCUGUUGGAACUUAGCUCUACCAUUCGUUUCAUUUGUUCAUUCGUUCACUUGUUUUUGCCAGCUUUGACCAGUGCAUAUCAGAACCUGAAAACUUCUCAAGCACCUGCAGCACCAUGCUGGUGCCAGGCCUGAUGCUGCUGAUGGCUCAUGGGCCUCCCAGGAGGCAGGUGCUAGCACGCUCUGCACUGCAGGCACCUAGCCCUUGUCGCGCCAGUCUGUGCUCUAACAGCAAGGUUUCUUGACAUUCUACCAGUGAGACUCUGAGACAUGGAUUCUUCGGAGGCUCCAUGCUUUCUGAGCCCUCUCUGGUUUCCUUCUUUCCCUCCUCUAAUCCACCUGUUUGGAUGCCAAGAUACUCUCUGGUUUGAACCAUAGUUUUCGAACCCAGAGAGGCUCCCAGGCAAUUUGACCUCAUCUCUUUGGCCAAUGUGUCAACAGAUUUGAAGCAUUCCCGAUAUGAGAAGUUCCUGUAAGAAAGGUUUUAUCUCUCCAGCAUCCAUUCCUGCAGGAGCAGAGUCCUUUCAAAUGCUCCAGACCCCUUGGCCAGUAGGUGCGUAUUUAGCCACAUCCUGCUGCAGCAGUAGUAGCUCAUACAGAACCUUAGGGUCUUCCCCCCUUACAGCACUCCUCUGCUCACAUAAUCGCACACACCUCUAAGCAUUCAAAAGGGAUUUUUACUGUACGUCACCAUGCUCUGUGAGCUGCACCCCACCUGUAGGUAACUCCAGGUGGAGACACUGCUAUGAGAAGCAGUGUGUGUGUCCUGUGGGCCAUCUCUGUCUGAGCUCUGGAGAAGCUGCUGUGAAAGCUUCCUUCCCUGCAGAGUUCCUAUUCUAGCUCAGCAUUGUCCACCAGAGCUUCCUACAAAGAUGAAGAUGU